UACGAAGGGGGCUAGCGUUGUUCGGAAUUACUGGGCGUAAAGCGCACGUAGGCGGCUUUACAAGUCAGGGGUGAAAGCCCGCGGCUCAACCGCGGAAUUGCCCUUGAGACUGUAUCGCUUGAACACGGGAGAGGUGAGUGGAAUUCCGAGUGUAGAGGUGAAAUUCGUAGAUAUUCGGAAGAACACCAGUGGCGAAGGCGGCUCACUGGACCGUAGUUGACGCUGAGGUGCGAAAGCGUGGGGAGCAAACAGG
rnacentral:rRNA from 1 species